rnacentral:rRNA from 1 species
GACGAACGCUGGCGGCGUGCCUAAUACAUGCAAGUCGAACGCAGUGGGGACGGGUGAGUAACACGUGGGUAACCUCCCAUCAGAGGGGAUAACACUUGGCAACAGGUGCUAAACCGAUACUGAUGGAUGGACCCGCGGUGCAUUAGCUAGUUGGUGAGGUAACGGCUCACCAAGGCCACGAUGCAUAGCCUACCUGAGAGGGUGAUCGGCCACACUGGGACUGAGACACGGCCCAGACUCCUAGGGAAGGGAGCAGUAGGGUAGCUUCGGCGAUGGACGCGAGUGUGGCGGAUCAACGACGCGUAGGUGGAGAAGGUUUUCGGAUCGUAAAGCUCUGGUGUUAGAGAUGCGGUAGCGACCCAGAAAGCCGCAGCUAACUACGUGCCAGCAGCCGCGGUAAUAC